rnacentral:rRNA from 1 species
CAGUAGCCGCGGGAAAACGAAGGGGGCUAGCGUUGUUCGGAAUUACUGGGCGUAAAGCGCACGUAGGCGGAUCGAUCAGUCAGGGGUGAAAUCCCAGGGCUCAACCUGGGGACUGCGCUUAAGACUGGAGUGCUUGAGGAUGGAAGAGGGUUGUGGAAUUCCCAGUGUAGAGGUGAAAUUCGUAGAUAUUGGGAAGAACACCGGUGGCGAAGGCGGCAACCUGGUCCAUUACUGACGCUGAGGCGCGAUAGCGUGGGGAGCAAACAGGAUUAGAUACCCCCGUAGUCCCUGUCUCUUAUAA